rnacentral:rRNA from 1 species
UGGAUGAUGUGGAUUAAUUCGAUGCAACGCGAAGACCUUACUACCCUUGACAUGUCCGGAACUUGCCAGAGAUGGCUUGGUGCCCAAAGGGAAUCGGAACACAGGUGCUGCAUGGCUGUCGUCAGCUCGUGUCGUGAGAUGUUGGGUUAAGUCCCGCAACGAGCGCAACCCUUAUCAUUAGUUGCUACGCAAGGGCACUCUAAUGAGACUGCCGGUGACAAACCGGAGGAAGGUGGGGAUGACGUCAAGUCCUCAUGGCCCUUAUGGGUAGGGCUUCACACGUCAUACAAUGGUCGGUACAGAGGGUUGCCAAGCCGCGAGGCGGAGCCAAUCCCACAAAGCCGAUCGUAGUCCGGAUUGUUCUCUGCAACUCGAGAGCAUGAAGUCGGAAUCGCUAGUAAUCGCAGGUCAGCAUACUGCGGUGAAUACGUUCCCGGGUCUU